GACGAACGCUGGCGGCGUGCUUAACACAUGCAAGUCGAACGGAAAGGCCCUGCUUUUGUUGGGUGCUCGAGUGGCGAACGGGUGAGUAACACGUGAGUAACCUGCCCUUGACUUUGGGAUAACUUCAGGAAACUGGGGCUAAUACCGGAUAGGAGCUCCUGCUGCAUGGUGGGGGUUGGAAAGUUUCGGCGGUUGGGGAUGGACUCGCGGCUUAUCAGCUUGUUGGUGGGGUAGUGGCUUACCAAGGCUUUGACGGGUAGCCGGCCUGAGAGGGUGACCGGCCACAUUGGGACUGAGAUACGGCCAAGACUCCUACGGGAGGCAGCAGUGGGGAAUAUUGAACAAUGGGCGGAAGCCUGAUGCAGCAAGGCCGCGUGCGGGAUGACGGCCUUCGGGUUGUAAACCGCUUUCGCAUGUGACGAAGCGUGAGUGACGGUAAUGGGUAAAGAAGCACCGGCUAACUACGUG
rnacentral:rRNA from 1 species